rnacentral:rRNA from 1 species
CCUACGGGGGGGCAGCAGUGGGGAAUAUUGCACAAUGGGGGAAACCCUGAUGCAGCGACGCCGCGUGAAGGACGAAGUAUUUCGGUACGUAAACUUCUAUCAGCAGGGAAGAAAAUGGCGGUACCUGACCAAGAAGCCCCGGCUAACUACGUGCCAGCAGCCGCGGUAAUACGUAGGGGGCAAGCGUUAUCCGGAAUUACUGGGUGUAAAGGGAGCGUAGACGGCUGUGCAAGUCUGGAGUGAAAGGCGGGGGCCCAACCCCCGGACUGCUCUGGAAACUGUAUGGCUGGAGUGCAGGAGAGGUA